rnacentral:rRNA from 1 species
CCGCGGUAAUACGAGUGCCUCAAGCGUUAUCCGGAAUUAUUGGGCGUAAAGGGUGUGUAGGUUGUUUUGUUAGUCUCUUGUUAAAUUCUUCGGCUCAACCGGGGACCUGCAAGGGAAACGGCAAGACUUUAGAGGGUGCGAGGGGUCUGUGGAACUCUAGGUGUAGCGGUGAAAUGCGUUGAUAUCUAGGGGAACACCAAAAGCGAAGGCAGCAGACUGGAGCAUUCCUGACACUGAAACACGAAAGCGUGGGUAGCGAAUGGGAUUAGAUACCCCAGUAGUCCACGCCCUAAACUAUCUUCUCUAGAUUUUCGGAGUAUCGACCCUCUGAGAGUCACAGCUAACGCGUUAAGAGAAGCGCCUGGGUAGUACGACCGCAAGGUUAAAACUCAAAUGAAUUGACGGG